UGAAUUCAGUUUCAAUAAGAGUAAAGCGAUGUGUACAUCAGCUAUCAUUGUUAAGUCGUGUUUCGCAUAAAUGCAUAUUGAUACGCAGGUAAAAUUAAAAUGUAUGUUUACGUAAUAUUUCGGUCAACGAAUCAAAAUGUUUUUAUACACAAUUGAAUUGGACUGUUUUUUAUACAAUUAUUAAAAAACAUUUUGUAAAUCAAUAAAAAAUGUUAAUCAACAGAUAAUAGAUUUUAAUUUGUUCCAAAAGUACUUUUCGACUGCUAUUUUUACUAAGGAACAAUUGCAGUGGCUACGCAUGUGUACCUUUUGAUGUCAUUCAGUUGCAAAUAUGUCUGUCGUUUAUCACCAUCAGUGAAACAGAAGAAGUUAUUAUACUUUUUAGGGAAAUGUUUUGCAUGGGUAUACAUACUAUUUCUUUUGUGUUGCAUUUAGAAGAAUGGAAACUACAUCUUACAACACAAGUUUAUCGAAUGUAAUGGCACAAUCAACAGGACACCUACCACGACAACAUAUAUUCAAUAUCAAGACAUUUAAGAUAUUAGGUGGUAUACAGAUAGGGCUUGGUGGAAUAUUAGUCAUCAUGGGUUUGGUUGUAUUGACAAGGAUGUCUAUCAUAUUCUACUUUGGUAUACCGAUAUUAAUAUGCUCAGGAUGGUUUAUCCUGACUGGAUUCCUACCAAUGUGCAUGUCAGGGAAUUCAGUUUCUAGCUUGAAAUGCCAGAAAAUAGGCUUCAUGGUUUGCAGUAUAAUAGGAGCAGUAGUAUUUUCACCUAUUGUGUUUACAUUAGCUAUUGGCUCAGGAAUGAGUUAUUUUUACACAGACUAUGGAAACAAUAUGUGUAUUUUAUCGUUUUCCAUAGCCGUAUUGGUUUUUGCUUUAGCAAUAGUUGCAGUCAUUUCAGCUUCCUAAUGUUGCUGUUGUUCGCCUUGGGGACGUCAGCAGAUGGUUGUUUUGAUGAGUCCUCCACAGCCUGGAAUGAAUCUACAUGCCCUUGGAAAUCAAAUUUGGAACACAAACAUUCAGACAUUAGUUGAAACAACCGGAAAAACAGAGGUUUAUUCAAAUGCUCAACAGUACCAACUUGUUGGAACUGAUCAAGUGGCUUGUUAUUUACAGAAUCCGAACAUUUCAAAUCCACCACCGUACGAGGAAUGAAUGAAUCCAAUAUACAUGAUGUAUUAUUAUCUAGAGCAUAUAACUAUAAUAAUGUAAUGAUGUAUUUUAACUGAAAAUAUAAACAAUCAAAAUAAAUCAUAAAGGACAGAAAUCAACGCCCACCUUCCAAUACAUAUGAAACCUUAAGAAAAACGAUGUGUUUUAAAGUUCUAUACUUUAAUCACUAGUAUGGGAGCAUGGACCUUACAUCCAUGUUUUUGGGAUUGUGCUGGAUAGUUGUCUCAUUGGCAAUCAUACUAAAUCUCAUUAUUUUAAUGAGGAAAAGCCGAUGACUAGUAGAUGUAUUAGAAUUAAGAAAAACAAGCAACUUAAAAAUACAAAAAAAAAACCAACCCUUCUAAUUAGGUGCACAAAGUCUUUACCCGUUUUGAUGAUUUUUUACUUUUUACAUACGCUAUUCGAUUUUGAGCGUUCCUGAUGAAGAUAAAUCCAGAAAAACGCUUCGGACGCAUGCCAUUUAUAGCAUGUUUAUUCAAUUUGUUACAGCACUGUGUUAAGACCUCUUCUGUAGGAUUAUGAGUCCCCAGGGGCAUCAUCAGCUUAGUAGUCAUUACUUUCGGUACUAACAUGAUUUAUAACAAACCUUUCUCAAAUUGUCCGUUUAUAAAUUUUGAAUUAUGAAGAAACGAAGGUUUCAACUUCCUCAGGCAAAGUUGACGUUAGAUUGAUUUGGCUAUUUUUUAUGUCAUUUUUUGACAUAUAGCUAUUUAACUGUUUCGGUUCUUUAAUAUUCUUGGCGUUCAAAAGUUAUGGACAAAAAGUGCGGAAGGAGAAAAAACAGAUAAACGUACGAUAAAAUUUUGUCACUUGACUUCCGACUGAGGUGACACAAUAAUAACACGAUUUUUAAUAAGAAAAAAGUAUAAUAAUAACAAAUAUUCCGAACUCAAAGGAAAACUCAAAACGGAAAGUCCCUUAUCAAAUGGCAAAUUCAAAAGCUCAAACACAUUAAACAAAUGGAAAACAACUGUCAAAUUCCUGACUUGGUACAGGUAUUUCCUAUGUAGAAAAUGGUGGAGUAAACCUGGUUUUAUAAACCUCACAUUUGUAUGACGAUCGCAUAAAUUUCCAUUAUAUUGACAACAAUGUGUGAACAAAAAAAUCAGACAUAAUAGGUAAAAAUGUAAAAAAUAAGGGCACAGCAGUCAACAUUGUGUUAUAGUGUUAAUCAUUAUCAAAACAAACAAAUAUGCCAACAAAGAAUACAAAAUGGCAUAUAAACAUAGCACAUAAGCAACAAUUAAAGAAAAGAAUACAAAAAAUGACCAUAGCAAAAUAAUACAAUGGCGGUAUGUAUAAGUACCAUUGUCCGCGACCUCACUUCAUGGUUCAUUGACUACUUGAUUUUUUGUAAUGUUAAUUUCUCUCUUAUUAUGAGUAAUAGAAAAACUAUAUAUGGUAUGUGCGUACCUUGCAAGGUCCUAAAGCCAGUCAAACAGUUUGCACUUGACCUCGACCUCAUUUAAUGGAUCAGUGAACUAGUUUAAGUUUUCGUGGUCAGGUCCAUAUCUUAGAUACUAUGAGCAAUAUUAUAACGCUGCUUCCCUGGUGUUAGAGUCGGCCACCAGAGAUCACAGGUUACAUAGAAAAGGGAUUUCUUAACUGGUAUGAUUUAUUACUGCAAAAUUUAGGGCCGACGUCUAAUUGGAAUACCGUCGAACCAACCCACUUUACAGCUUCGUUUAACCUAUGUUCUACAGGUCUAUCUAUUGUAUAUAUGAUUGAGAAAUAAAAGAAAUAGCAUAUAUAA